GGGUGGGGUAGAGGCGCGGUUGUUAAGAGUACUUAUAUAAAGGUCGGAAGCCAAUGACAUAUAAGAAAAGGAACUACCGCCGAAGCUUCAGAAACCAAAAUCUGUUGCUGGGUCUGUAUCGAAUAGGUACAGGACUGUCAUCAUUGUACGAGCUCAGUACUUUGAUGUUGCGCUAUCUCACAC
rnacentral:ncRNA from 2 species